rnacentral:rRNA from 1 species
GACGAACGCUGGCGGCGUGCUUAACACAUGCAAGUCGAACGGAAAGGCCCUGCUUUUGUGGGGUGCUCGAGUGGCGAACGGGUGAGUAACACGUGAGUAACCUGCCCUUGACUUUGGGAUAACUUCAGGAAACUGGGGCUAAUACCGGAUAGGAGCUCCUGCUGCAUGGUGGGGGUUGGAAAGUUUCGGCGGUUGGGGAUGGACUCGCGGCUUAUCAGCUUGUUGGUGGGGUAGUGGCUUACCAAGGCUUUGACGGGUAGCCGGCCUGAGAGGGUGACCGGCCACCUUGGGACUGAGACACGGCCCAGACUCCUACGGGAGGCAGCAGUGGGGAAUAUUGCACAAUGGGCGGAAGCCUGAUGCAGCAACGCCGCGUGCGGGAUGACUGCCUUCGGGUUGUAGACCGCUUUCGCCUGUGACGAAGCGUGAGUGACGGUAAUGGGUAAAGAAGCACCGGCUAACUACGUG